rnacentral:rRNA from 1 species
CAGAGGGUGCGAGCGUUAAAUCGGAUUUACUGGGCGUAAAGCGUGUGUAGGUGGUUGUUCGAAGUCGGUUGUGAAAUCCCUGGGCUUAACCUGGGACUAGCUUCCGAGACUGAGCGACUAGAGUACGGUAGAGGCGGUGGAAUUUCCGGUGUAGCGGUGAAAUGCGUAGAUAUCGGAAGGACACCAAAUGGCGAAGGCAGCCGCCUGGGCCUGUACUGACACUGAGACACGAAAGCGUGGGAUCAAACAGGAUU